rnacentral:rRNA from 1 species
UGGGGAAUAUUGCACAAUGGGCGCAAGCCUGAUGCAGCCAUGCCGCGUGUGUGAAGAAGGCCUUCGGGUUGUAAAGCACUUUCAGCGGGGAGGAAGGCGAUAAGGUUAAUAACCUUGUCGAUUGACGUUACCCGCAGAAGAAGCACCGGCUAACUCCGUGCCAGCAGCCGCGGUAAUACGGAGGGUGCAAGCGUUAAUCGGAAUUACUGGGCGUAAAGCGCACGCAGGCGGUUUGUUAAGUCAGAUGUGAAAUCCCCGGGCUCAACCCGGGAACUGCAUCUGAUACUGGCAAGCUUGAGUCUCGUAGAGGGGGGUAGAAUUCCAGGUGUAGCGGUGAAAUGCGUAGAGAUCUGGAGGAAUACCGGUGGCGAAGGCGGCCCCCUGGACGAAGACUGACGCUCAGGUGCGAAAGCGUGGGGAGCAAACAGG